AGAGUUUGAUCCUGGCUCAGAUUGAACGCUGGCGGCAGGCCUAACACAUGCAAGUCGAGCGGUAACAGGGGUAGCUUGCUACCCGCUGACGAGCGGCGGACGGGUGAGUAAUGCAUAGGAAUCUGCCCGAUAGUGGGGGAUAACCUGGGGAAACCCAGGCUAAUACCGCAUACGUCCUACGGGAGAAAGGGGGCUUUGGCUCCCGCUAUUGGAUGAGCCUAUGUCGGAUUAGCUAGUUGGUAAGGUAAUGGCUUACCAAGGCAACGAUCCGUAGCUGGUCUGAGAGGAUGAUCAGCCACAUCGGGACUGAGACACGGCCCGAACUCCUACGGGAGGCAGCAGUGGGGAAUAUUGGACAAUGGGGGCAACCCUGAUCCAGCCAUGCCGCGUGUGUGAAGAAGGCCCUCGGGUUGUAAAGCACUUUCAGCGAGGAAGAACGCCUGUCGGUUAAUACCCGGUAGGAAAGACAUCACUCGCAGAAGAAGCACCGGCUAACUCCGUGCCAGCAGCCGCGGUAAUACGGAGGGUGCAAGCGUUAAUCGGAAUUACUGGGCGUAAAGCGCGCGUAGGUGGCUUGAUAAGCCGGUUGUGAAAGCCCCGGGCUCAACCUGGGAACGGCAUCCGGAACUGUCAGGCUAGAGUGCAGGAGAGGAAGGUAGAAUUCCCGGUGUAGCGGUGAAAUGCGUAGAGAUCGGGAGGAAUACCAGUGGCGAAGGCGGCCUUCUGGACUGACACUGACACUGAGGUGCGAAAGCGUGGGUAGCAAACAGGAUUAGAUACCCUGGUAGUCCACGCCGUAAACGAUGUCGACCAGCCGUUGGGUGCCUAGAGCACUUUGUGGCGAAGUUAACGCGAUAAGUCGACCGCCUGGGGAGUACGGCCGCAAGGUUAAAACUCAAUGAAUUGACGGGGGCCCGCACAAGCGGUGGAGCAUGUGGUUUAAUUCGAUGCAACGCGAAGAACCUUACCUACUCUUGACAUCCUGCGAAUUUGGGUAGAGAUACCUUUAGUGCCUUCGGGAACGCAGAGACAGGUGCUGCAUGGCUGUCGUCAGCUUCGUGUUGUGAAAUGUUGGGUUAAGUCCCGUAACGAGCGCACCUUGUCCUUAUUUUGCCAGCGGCGUUAAUGGGCGGGAAACCUUUAAAUG
rnacentral:rRNA from 1 species